rnacentral:rRNA from 1 species
CGCUGGCGGCGUGCUUAACACAUGCAAGUCGAACGAUGAACCACUUCGGUGGGGAUUAGUGGCGAACGGGUGAGUAACACGUGGGCAAUCUGCCCUGCACUCUGGGACAAGCCCUGGAAACGGGGUCUAAUACCGGAUACUGAUCAUCUUGUGCAUCCUUGAUGAUCGAAAGCUCCGGCGGUGCAGGAUGACCCCGCGGCCUAUCAGCUUGUUGGUGAGGUAACGGCUCACCAAGGCGACUACCGAUAGCCGGCCUGAGAGGGCGACCGGCCACACUGACACUGAGACACGGCCCAGACUCCUACGGCAGGCAGCAGUGGGGAAUAUUGCACAGUGGGCGCAAGCCUGAUGCAACGACCCCGCGUGAGGGAUGACGGCCUUCGGGUUGUGAACCUCUUUCAGCAGGCAAUAAGCAAAAGUGACGGUACCUGCAGAAGAAGCUCCGGCUAACUACGUGCCAGCAGACGCGGUAAUACGUAGGGCGCAAGCGUUGUCCGGAAUUAUUGGGCGUAAAGAGCUCGUAGGCGGCUUGUCGCGUCGGAUGUGAAAGCCCGGGGCUUAACCCCGGAUCUGCAUUCGAUACGCGCAGGCUAGAGUUCGGUAGGGGAGAUCGGAAUUCCUGGUGUAGCGGUGAAAUGCGCAAAUAUCAGGACGAACACCGGUGGCGAAGGCGGAUCUCUGGGCCGAUACUGACGCUGAGGAGCGAAAGCGUGGGGAGCGAACUGGAUUAGAUACCCUGGUAGUCCACGCCGUAAACGGUGCGCACUAGGUGUGGGCAACAUUCCACGUUGUCCGUGCCGCAGCUAACGCAUUAAGUGCCCCGCCUGGGGAGUACGGCCGCAAGGCUAAAACUCAAAGGAAUUGACGGGGGCCCGCACAAGCGGCGGAGCAUGUGGCUUAAUUCGACGCAACGCGAAGAACCUUACCAAGGCUUGACAUACACCGGAAACACUCAGAGAUGGGUGCCCCCUUGUGGUCGGUGUACAGGUGGUGCAUGGCUGUCGUCAGCUCGUGUCG